rnacentral:lncRNA from 1 species
CUUCAAAGCUGUCUAAGCUGGGUGAAGUGAGUUCUGCACAAGAAAGGACUGGUUUAUUACCCGAAGAGGAAACUACAUCUUAGAAGCUGUUUUUCACAUAAAUUCUUCAGCAAAUGAAAUGAUGCCUUAAGCUUUUUAAGAAAGCCCCAUGAAAUCAACUUAGUCAACAGAAAGGAAAUUAAAAGUAGUUGACUAAGUCAAGG